AGAGUUUGAUCCUGGCUCAGGAUGAACGCUAGCUACAGGCUUAACACAUGCAAGUCGAGGGGCAGCAUGGUCUUAGCUUGCUAAGGCCGAUGGCGACCGGCGCACGGGUGAGUAACACGUAUCCAACCUGCCGUCUACUCUUGGACAGCCUUCUGAAAGGAAGAUUAAUACAAGAUGGCAUCAUGAGUCCACAUGUUCACAUGAUUAAAGGUAUUCCGGUAGACGAUGGGGAUGCGUUCCAUUAGAUAGUAGGCGGGGUAACGGCCCACCUAGUCUUCGAUGGAUAGGGGUUCUGAGAGGAAGGUCCCCCACAUUGGAACUGAGACACGGUCCAAACUCCUACGGGAGGCAGCAGUGAGGAAUAUUGGUCAAUGGGCGAGAGCCUGAACCAGCCAAGUAGCGUGAAGGAUGACUGCCCUAUGGGUUGUAAACUUCUUUUAUAAAGGAAUAAAGUCGGGUAUGCAUACCCGUUUGCAUGUACUUUAUGAAUAAGGAUCGGCUAACUCCGUGCCAGCAGCCGCGGUAAUACGGAGGAUCCGAGCGUUAUCCGGAUUUAUUGGGUUUAAAGGGAGCGUAGAUGGAUGUUUAAGUCAGUUGUGAAAGUUUGCGGCUCAACCGUAAAAUUGCAGUUGAUACUGGAUAUCUUGAGUGCAGUUGAGGCAGGCGGAAUUCGUGGUGUAGCGGUGAAAUGCUUAGAUAUCACGAAGAACUCCGAUUGCGAAGGCAGCCUGCUAAGCUGCAACUGACAUUGAGGCUCGAAAGUGUGGGUAUCAAACAGGAUUAGAUACCCUGGUAGUCCACACGGUAAACGAUGAAUACUCGCUGUUUGCGAUAUACUGCAAGCGGCCAAGCGAAAGCGUUAAGUAUUCCACCUGGGGAGUACGCCGGCAACGGUGAAACUCAAAGGAAUUGACGGGGGCCCGCACAAGCGGAGGAACAUGUGGUUUAAUUCGAUGAUACGCGAGGAACCUUACCCGGGCUUAAAUUGCAGAUGAAUUACGGUGAAAGCCGUAAGCCGCAAGGCAUCUGUGAAGGUGCUGCAUGGUUGUCGUCAGCUCGUGCCGUGAGGUGUCGGCUUAAGUGCCAUAACGAGCGCAACCCUUGUUGUCAGUUACUAACAGGUUCCGCUGAGGACUCUGACAAGACUGCCAUCGUAAGAUGUGAGGAAGGUGGGGAUGACGUCAAAUCAGCACGGCCCUUACGUCCGGGGCUACACACGUGUUACAAUGGGGGGUACAGAGGGCCGCUACCACGCGAGUGGAUGCCAAUCCCCAAAACCUCUCUCAGUUCGGACUGGAGUCUGCAACCCGACUCCACGAAGCUGGAUUCGCUAGUAAUCGCGCAUCAGCCACGGCGCGGUGAAUACGUUCCCGGGCCUUGUACACACCGCCCGUCAAGCCAUGGGAGCCGGGGGUACCUGAAGUGCGUAACCGCGAGGAGCGCCCUAGGGUAAAACUGGUGACUGGGGCUAAGUCGUAACAAGGUAGCCGUACCGGAAGGUGCGGCUG
rnacentral:rRNA from 1 species